UUGGAGGGCAAGUCUGGUGCCAGCAGCCGCGGUAAUUCCAGCUCCAAUAGCGUAUAUUAAAGUUGUUGCAGUUAAAAAGCUCGUAGUUGAAUUUCGGGAUUGACGUGACGGUCGUGCCUUAAGGGGUAUGAACUGUCGCCGUUGAUUUCUCACCUUCUGGAGAAACUCGAUGCCCUUUAUUGGGUGUCUUGCGGAUCCAGGACCUUUACCUUGAAAAAAUUAGAGUGUUUAAAGCAGGCAUUUUUGCUCGAAUACAUUAGCAUGGAAUAAUAGAAUAGGACGGCUUGGUUCUAUUUUGUUGGUUUCUAGGAUCACCGUAAUGAUUAAUAGGGAUAGUUGGGGGCAUUAGUAUUCAAUUGUCAGAGGUGAAAUUCUUGGAUUUAUUGAAGACUAACUACUGCGAAAGCAUUUGCCAAGGAUGUUUUCAUUAAUCAAGAACGAAAGUUAGGGGAUCGAAGACGAUCAGAUACCGUCGUAGUCUUAACCAUAAACUAUGCCGACUAGGGAUCGGAUGAUGUUAAUUUUUUAAUGACUCAUUCGGCACCUUACGGGAAAC
rnacentral:rRNA from 1 species